rnacentral:lncRNA from 1 species
CUCAUUAACACAGACAGGAGUGUAAGUCAGAGGCAAAGACAGAGUUCCAUGUUUAUGGGUGUGUAAACUAAACUGCUUUUUGAUAGUUGGUCUACCACUUAAGACUUAAGUUACUGAACCUUAACACUUAACACACCUUUAAAAUGGUCAUGAUAAUAGUAGCCAUCUCAGGGUUGUUGUAUUCUUAAAUCUGAAAAAAAAAAAAAUGGUAGCUGUAAAGAGUUUUGUUAUGCAUCCACAAUACCUAGACGGACCCCCGCCCCAACCUCUUUGUGUAUAAAAACAUUGCAGUCCAUUGAAAGGUAACAGUUUUGAACAGAAAGGACCUUUGAAAUUAUUAUUUGGUCAGUUUCCCACAUUUUAUAUGAGGAAGCUGCAGAGAGGAGAGCAGCCAGACUGAUUUGGGUCAGGUUCAAAUCCUGGCAUGCACUGCUAAGAUGCUUUAUAUAAAGUGCAGCUUAUAAGAGUACCAGCCCUCCUGGAGUUGAAGUUCAAGGGCUUGAGUCCUAGCUGUCCUUAUUAAUUUGUGAGCUGUGUGAUCUUGAGAUAAUUACUAACCCUGCCUGUGUUCUACCUCAUAGGGUUUAUGUAAUGUUCAAAAUAUAUGUGAAUUACUAAACAUAAGCCAUUAUUCUAUAGUAUUACUGUCUGUUUAAUCCUGGGCAAAUUUGUAAAAUGGAAAUAAUAGCAUACUUUUGCUGGGAUUUUGGAAGUAUUAAAUGUACACAAAACAUCUAGUAUGGUAAUAAGCAUUUGACAAAUUAUACUAAGAAUAGUAAUACUAUUCAAGAAAUGUUGGUACUGGGCACUUCAAUCUCAACUCAUACUGCUGUGGAUGCUGAGUUGUAUAGUCAUGUUUUAGCCCUCUUGUGUUUAAUCAGUUCACCUUAACUAUUUACAGAACAGAUAAAUAAUGAAAGGCCAUAAGAACCGCCACAUUUAUUAUAUAAUGAAAAUGCUUCUUGUUUUAACUUUACCACAUUUCAUUGCUCUGCAUAUUUCAUUGUAUUUUUGUCACACAGAAUUUCCCACACUAUUUUUGUCAUAGUGUCAGAAGUUUUAGAUUGAAACUUACCAGAUAAAAACAAUCUCCACAAAUCCUUGUUGUGUAAUUAUGAGGUAAACAUAGAAUGAAGGUGAGUUUAUCUUGUCUGCUAGGAACCACCAUUGCAGUCAUUGAAUUUUAUUCCAUAUUUGUUUUAGAGAGAGCAAGAAGGUCCACAAAAUUGGAAGCAGAGACAGCUCCCAAAGAACAAUAAAACGAAAAUGUGAAAUUGAAAGUUGACAACUCAGAACAAAAACAGUAUUCAAUGCAAUAAUGAAUGUGCAGUAGCUAUAAAAAGCUUCGACUAAGCUUCCUUGAAAGGAAGAGAGAAACGGGCAUAGGAACAGGUAUGUAGAUGAACAUGAAAGUGCACAUGACCUUUGACUUUUGGUGUGAGUCAGUAUUUUGGUGCCCCUAUCUGUAUUCAGCAUAGUGGCAAGUGCUGGAGGGUUAUAGAAGUAGCAUAAAAUUUUGUUCCAAAUAAAGGCAUGUUCUGAAUGGCCUCUCUAUAAUGCCAAUGCAUUAUGAAUGUUCAAAUAAGUAAAAUCUUGUCAAUUUGAGCAUCUUUCAAUAUUUGUUUAUUAAAG